rnacentral:rRNA from 1 species
GGGUUGUGAGGUUAAGCGACUAAGCGUACACGGUGGAUGCCCUGGCAGUCAGAGGCGAUGAAGGGCGUGCUAAUCUGCGAUAAGCGCCGGUAAGGUGAUAUGAACCGUUAUAACCGGCGAUACCCGAAUGGGGAAACCCAGUGUGACUCGUCACACUAUCAUUAACUGAAUCCAUAGGUUAAUGAGGCGAACCGGGGGAACUGAAACAUCUAAGUACCCCGAGGAAAAGAAAUCAACCGAGAUUCCCCCAGUAGCGGCGAGCGAACGGGGAGGAGCCCAGAGCCUGAAUCAGCAUGUGUGUUAGUGGAAGCGUCUGGAAAGGCGCGCGAUACAGGGUGACAGCCCCGUACACAAAAGCGCAUGUGUUGUGAGCUCGAUGAGUAGGGCGGGACACGUGGUAUCCUGUCUGAAUAUGGGGGGACCAUCCUCCAAGGCUAAAUACUCCUGACUGACCGAUAGUGAACCAGUACCGUGAGGGAAAGGCGAAAAGAACCCCGGCGAGGGGAGUGAAAAAGAACCUGAAACCGUGUACGUACAAGCAGUGGGAGCACCCUUCGGGGUGUGACUGCGUACCUUUUGUAUAAUGGGUCAGCGACUUAUAUUCUGUAGCAAGGUUAACCGAAUAGGGGAGCCGGAGGGAAACCGAGUCUUAAUUGGGCGUUAAGUUGCAGGGUAUAGACCCGAAACCCGGUGAUCUAGCCAUGGGCAGGUUGAAGGUUGGGUAACACUAACUGGAGGACCGAACCGACUAAUGUUGAAAAAUUAGCGGAUGACCUGUGGCUGGGGGUGAAAGGCCAAUCAAACCGGGAGAUAGCUGGUUCUCCCCGAAAGCUAUUUAGGUAGCGCCUCGUGAAUUCAUCUCCGGGGGUAGAGCACUGUUUCGGCUAGGGGGCCAUCCCGGCUUACCAACCCGAUGCAAACUGCGAAUACCGGAGAAUGUUAUCACGGGAGACACACGGCGGGUGCUAACGUCCGUCGUGAAGAGGGAAACAACCCAGACCGCCAGCUAAGGUCCCAAAGUCAUGGUUAAGUGGGAAACGAUGUGGGAAGGCCCAGACAGCCAGGAUGUUGGCUUAGAAGCAGCCAUCAUUUAAAGAAAGCGUAAUAGCUCACUGGUCGAGUCGGCCUGCGCGGAAGAUGUAACGGGGCUAAACCAUGCACCGAAGCUGCGGCAGCGACACUCAGGUGUUGUUGGGUAGGGGAGCGUUCUGUAAGCCUGUGAAGGUGUGUCGUGAGGCAUGCUGGAGGUAUCAGAAGUGCGAAUGCUGACAUAAGUAACGAUAAAGCGGGUGAAAAGCCCGCUCGCCGGAAGACCAAGGGUUCCUGUCCAACGUUAAUCGGGGCAGGGUGAGUCGACCCCUAAGGCGAGGCCGAAAGGCGUAGUCGAUGGGAAACGGGUUAAUAUUCCCGUACUUGGUGUUACUGCGAAGGGGGGACGGAGAAGGCUAUGUUGGCCGGGCGACGGUUGUCCCGGUUUAAGCGUGUAGGCUGGUUUUCCAGGCAAAUCCGGAAAAUCAAGGCUGAGGCGUGAUGACGAGGCACUACGGUGCUGAAGCAACAAAUGCCCUGCUUCCAGGAAAAGCCUCUAAGCAUCAGGUAACAUCAAAUCGUACCCCAAACCGACACAGGUGGUCAGGUAGAGAAUACCAAGGCGCUUGAGAGAACUCGGGUGAAGGAACUAGGCAAAAUGGUGCCGUAACUUCGGGAGAAGGCACGCUGACACGUAGGUGAAGUGAUUUACUCACGGAGCUGAAGUCAGUCGAAGAUACCAGCUGGCUGCAACUGUUUAUUAAAAACACAGCACUGUGCAAACACGAAAGUGGACGUAUACGGUGUGACGCCUGCCCGGUGCCGGAAGGUUAAUUGAUGGGGUCAGCGCAAGCGAAGCUCCUGAUCGAAGCCCCGGUAAACGGCGGCCGUAACUAUAACGGUCCUAAGGUAGCGAAAUUCCUUGUCGGGUAAGUUCCGACCUGCACGAAUGGCGUAAUGAUGGCCAGGCUGUCUCCACCCGAGACUCAGUGAAAUUGAACUCGCUGUGAAGAUGCAGUGUACCCGCGGCAAGACGGAAAGACCCCGUGAACCUUUACUAUAGCUUGACACUGAACAUUGAGCCUUGAUGUGUAGGAUAGGUGGGAGGCUUUGAAGCGUGGACGCCAGUCUGCGUGGAGCCGACCUUGAAAUACCACCCUUUAAUGUUUGAUGUUCUAACGUGGACCCGUAAUCCGGGUUGCGGACAGUGUCUGGUGGGUAGUUUGACUGGGGCGGUCUCCUCCUAAAGAGUAACGGAGGAGCACGAAGGUUGGCUAAUCCUGGUCGGACAUCAGGAGGUUAGUGCAAUGGCAUAAGCCAGCUUGACUGCGAGCGUGACGGCGCGAGCAGGUGCGAAAGCAGGUCAUAGUGAUCCGGUGGUUCUGAAUGGAAGGGCCAUCGCUCAACGGAUAAAAGGUACUCCGGGGAUAACAGGCUGAUACCGCCCAAGAGUUCAUAUCGACGGCGGUGUUUGGCACCUCGAUGUCGGCUCAUCACAUCCUGGGGCUGAAGUAGGUCCCAAGGGUAUGGCUGUUCGCCAUUUAAAGUGGUACGCGAGCUGGGUUUAGAACGUCGUGAGACAGUUCGGUCCCUAUCUGCCGUGGGCGCUGGAGAACUGAGGGGGGCUGCUCCUAGUACGAGAGGACCGGAGUGGACGCAUCACUGGUGUUCGGGUUGUCAUGCCAAUGGCACUGCCCGGUAGCUAAAUGCGGAAGAGAUAAGUGCUGAAAGCAUCUAAGCACGAAACUUGCCCCGAGAUGAGUUCUCCCUGAGACUUAGAGUCUCCUGAAGGAACGUUGAAGACGACGACGUUGAUAGGCCGGGUGUGUAAGCGCAGCGAUGCGUUGAGCUAACCGGUACUAAUGAACCGUGAGGCUUAACCUUACAACGCCGAAG